rnacentral:rRNA from 1 species
GAUGAACGCUAGCGGCAGGCUUAAUACAUGCAAGUCGAGGGACAGCACAGGUAGCAAUACUGGGUGGUAACCGGCAAACGGGUGCGGAACACGUACACAACCUUCCUUUAAGUGGGGGAUAGCCCAGAGAAAUUUGGAUUAAUACCCCGUAAUAUAGUUGAAUGGCAUCAUUUGAUUAUUAUAGCUACGGCGCUUAAUGAUGGGUGUGCGGCUGAUUAGAUAGUUGGCGGGGUAACGGCCCACCAAGUCUACGAUCAGUAGCUGAUGUGAGAGCAUGAUCAGCCACACGGGCACUGAGACUCGGGCCCGACUCCUACGAGAGGCAGCAGUAAGGAAUAUUGGUCAAUGGACGCAAGUCUGAACCAGCCAUGCCGCGUGAAGGAUUAAGGUCCUCUGGAUUGUAAACUUCUUUUAUUUGGGACGAAAAAGGGCCUUUCUAGGUCAACUGACGGUACCAGAUGAAUAAGCACCGGCUAACUCCGUGCCAGCCGCCGCAGUAAAAC